UCCCACGUGGUCUAGUGGCUAGGAUACCUGGCUUUCACCCAGGAGGCCCGGGUUCGAUUCCCGGCGUGGGAA
rfam:Lutzomyia longipalpis Contig18442, whole genome shotgun sequence.